AAAAAAAGCAGGAAAAGGAGAUAAUGAAGAAACAGCCAUUGUUCAGUCAUUUUUCUAUCAGCUUUACCUGAAAGGAGAACAGCUUUGAUGUCAUUCAUCACAAGGUUUUUUUGAAGACCGUUCUUCAUCAGUAUUAUACAGAUCCUUAUCAGCCAGAAGAUCAGGACCUUUCCCCUUUUCUCCUUCGGGCUAAGAUUGCCAGAUUUAUCAUAUCACAUAGCUAUUAAAGGAGAAGAUAAACU